rnacentral:rRNA from 1 species
UACGUAGGGUGCAAGCGUUGUCCGGAAUUACUGGGCGUAAAGGGCGCGUAGGCGGCCUGCUAAGUCGAACGUGAAAUCCCCGGGCUCAACCCGGGAACUGCGUCCGAUACUGGCAGGCUUGAAUCCGGGAGAGGGAUGCGGAAUUCCAGGUGUAGCGGUGAAAUGCGUAGAUAUCUGGAGGAACACCGGUGGCGAAGGCGGCAUCCUGGACCGGCAUUGACGCUGAGGCGCGAAAGCCAGGGGAGCAAACGGG